UAAGGAAUAUUGCGCAAUGGGCGAAAGCCUGACGCAGCAACGCCGCGUGAAGGAUGAAGGCCUUCGGGUCGUAAACUUCUUUUGACGCUGACGAGGAAGGACGGUAGGCGUCGAAUCAGUCACGGCUAACUACGUGCCAGCAGCCGCGGUAAAACGUAGGUGGCAAGCGUUAUCCGGAUUUACUGGGCGUAAAGCGUGUGCAGGCGGGGGUACAAGUGGUGUAUGAAAUUUCCCAGCUUAACUGGGAAGGGUUAUGCCAGACUGUACUUCUGGAGUGCGAGAGAGGGGCGUGGAAUUCCGGGUGUAGUGGUGAAAUGCGUAGAGAUCCGGAGGAACCCCAGAGGCGAAGGCGGCGCCCUGGCUCGCAACUGACGCUCAGACACGACAGCAUGGGGAGCGAACGG
rnacentral:rRNA from 1 species